GACGAACGCUGGCGGCGUGCUUAACACAUGCAAGUCGAACGAUGAAGCUGGAGCUUGCUCCGGUGGAUUAGUGGCGAACGGGUGAGUAACACGUGAGCAAUCUGCCCUUGACUCUAGGAUAACUGCGGGAAACUGUAGCUAAUACCGGAUACGAGAUUUGGAGGCAUCUCCGGAUCUGGAAAGAAUUUCGGUCAAGGAUGAGCUGGCGGCCUAUCAGCUUGUUGGGUAGGUAAUGGCUCACAAAGGCGACGACGGGUAGCCGGCCUGAGAGGGUGACCGGCCACACUGGGACUGAGACACGGCCCAGACUCCUACGGGAGGCAGCAGUGGGGAAUAUUGCACAAUGGGCGAAAGCCUGAUGCAGCAACGCCGCGUGAGGGAUGAAGGCCUUCGGGUUGUAAACCUCUUUUAGUAGGGAAGAAGCGAAAGUGACGAUACCUACAGAAAAAGCACCGGCUAACUACGUGCCAGCAGCCGCAGUAA
rnacentral:rRNA from 1 species